AUGUUCUUCCCAAAGUGUCUGCAA
rnacentral:siRNA from 1 species